rnacentral:rRNA from 1 species
ACCAGCGGCGAUAGCACCUUGAAAGCACCAGUUCCGCAUGGAUCACUGAAGUUGAGCACGGUUGCGCGUGGUUACUACCCGGAUGGGUGACCAUCUAGCCAAUAGCGUGCUGCUAGUU